rnacentral:rRNA from 1 species
AUGACGACCCUAAGCUGGAACUGCCGGGGGCUCGGGCAAUCCCGGACAGUUCAAGAGUUAGUAUGCCUUGUGCAUACAUACCAGCCCAAGAUCGUCUUCAUCACUGAAACUAGGCAAUGUGAGAAUAAAGUAAAAGCACUGAAGUGGGGGUUAGGAUUGAGGCACUUUCUGACACAUGAUGGGAAGGGUAAAGGUGCUGGAAUCGCAUUGUACUGGGAUGAAUCAAUAAAAAUAAAAGUGUUAUCGUAUGGACCGAGGUAUUUUGAUGUGAUUGUCACUAAACCCCAUGGCCCGAAGUGGCGGGGAACCUUUGUGUACGACGAAUCAAGAGGCUAA